rnacentral:rRNA from 1 species
UUCUAUUAGAAAUUAUUAAUAGUAGAAUCUGCUCAAUGAUUAAUUAAAUAGCCGCAAUUUGUGCUAAGGUAGCAUAAUCACUUGUCUUUUAAAUGAAGACUAGAACAAAUGAUUUAACAUUUCAAUUUAUGUUCCUAAUUUAUAUAUUAAAUCUCUCUAAAAUGUAAAAAGACAUUUAUUUUAUAGAAAGACGAUAAGACCCUAUUGAACUUAACUGUAGUUAAACUGGGGCAGUAAAUUAAUUAUUAUUUUAAUAAUAUAUUAAAAUAUUAAUAUCUAAUAUUAUUAAAUAAUUAAGUUACCAUAGGGAUAACAGCGUAAUAGAAUUUCAAAGAUCUUAUUUCAAAAUCAGAUUACGACCUCGAUGUUGAAUUAAUAUUCUAAUUAAGGCAAGACUUAAAAAAGAAAGUCUGUUCGACUUUUAAAAAAUUACAUGAUCUGAGUUCAAACCGGCGUAAGCCAGGUCGGCUUCUAUCUUCUAAAUAAAUUUUUACAGUACGAAAGGGCCUAAAAAUAUAAUU